GAAUUCAACUCCUACGGGAGGCAGCAGUGGGGAAUAUUGCACAAUGGGCGCAAGCCUGAUGCAGCGACGCCGCGUGCGGGAUGGAGGCCUUCGGGUUGUAAACCGCUUUUGUUCAAGGGCAAGGCACGGUCUUUGGCCGUGUUGAGUGGAUUGUUCGAAUAAGCACCGGCUAACUACGUGCCAGCAGCCGCGGUAAUACGUAGGGUGCAAGCGUUAUCCGGAUUUAUUGGGCGUAAAGGGCUCGUAGGCGGUUCGUCGCGUCCGGUGUGAAAGUCCAUCGCUUAACGGUGGAUCCGCGCCGGGUACGGGCGGGCUUGAGUGCGGUAGGGGAGACUGGAAUUCCCGGUGUAACGGUGGAAUGUGUAGAUAUCGGGAAGAACACCAAUGGCGAAGGCAGGUCUCUGGGCCGUUACUGACGCUGAGGCACGAAAGCGUGGGGAGCAAAUAGGAUUAGAUACCCUAGUAGUCCAGGCGUU
rnacentral:rRNA from 1 species